GAUGAACACUGGCGGCGUGCCUAAUACAUGCAAGUCGAGCGAACAGACGAGGAGCUUGCUCCUCUGACGUUAGCGGCGGACGGGUGAGUAACACGUGGAUAACCUACCUAUAAGACUGGGAUAACUUCGGGAAACCGGAGCUAAUACCGGAUAAUAUAUUGAACCGCAUGGUUCAAUAGUGAAAGACGGUUUUGCUGUCACUUAUAGAUGGAUCCGCGCCGCAUUAGCUAGUUGGUAAGGUAACGGCUUACCAAGGCAACGAUGCGUAGCCGACCUGAGAGGGUGAUCGGCCACACUGGAACUGAGACACGGUCCAGACUCCUACGGGAGGCAGCAGUAGGGAAUCUUCCGCAAUGGGCGAAAGCCUGACGGAGCAACGCCGCGUGAGUGAUGAAGGUCUUCGGAUCGUAAAACUCUGUUAUUAGGGAAGAACAAAUGUGUAAGUAACUAUGCACGUCUUGACGGUACCUAAUCAGAAAGCCACGGCUAACUACGU
rnacentral:rRNA from 1 species